UGUUAUGGGGCAUAGUUGGUUAAAGCGCCGGUCUAGCGAAUACGGAGUCGUGGGUUCGAAUCCCACCAGAACAC
rnacentral:tRNA from 1 species